rnacentral:piRNA from 1 species
UGAAAAUCUAGUUCCUCAAGACAGAGUGGGU